rnacentral:rRNA from 1 species
GGCCCAGACUCCUACGGGAGGCAGCAGUGGGGAAUUUUGGACAAUCAUCGCAAGCCUGAUCCAGCCAUGCCGCGUGCGGGAAGUUCACCUUCGGGUUGUACUCCGCUUUUGUCAGGGAAGAAAUCUUUCGGGCCAAUACCCCGAGAGGAUGACGGUACCUGAAGAAUAAGCACCGGCUAACUACGUGCCAGCAGCCGCGGUAAU